rnacentral:rRNA from 1 species
GAUGAACGCUGGCGGCGUGCUUAACACAUGCAAGUCGAGCGAAGCAAUCUAAGUGAAGUUUUCGGAUGGAUCUUGGAUUGACUGAGCGGCGGACGGGUGAGUAACGCGUGGAUAUCCUGCCUCACACAGGGGGAUAACAGUUAGAAAUGACUGCUAAUACCGCAUAAGCGCACGGCAUCGCAUGAUGCAGUGUGAAAAACUCCGGUGGUGUGAGAUGGAUCCGCGUCUGAUUAGGUAGUUGGUGGGGUAACGGCCCACCAAGCCGACGAUCAGUAGCCGACCUGAGAGGGUGACCGGCCACAUUGGGACUGAGACACGGCCCAAACUCCUACGGGAGGCAGCAGUGGGGAAUAUUGCACAAUGGGCGAAAGCCUGAUGCAGCGACGCCGCGUGAGUGAAGAAGUAUCUCGGUAUGUAAAGCUCUAUCAGCAGGGAAGAAAAUGACGGUACCUGACUAAGAAGCCCCGGCUAACUACGUGCCAGCCGCCGCGGUAA